GACGAACGCUGGCGGCGUGCUUAACACAUGCAAGUCGAGCGGAAAGGCCCUUUCGGGGGUACACGAGCGGCGAACGGGUGAGUAACACGUGGGUGACCUGCCCUCAGCUCUGGGAUAAGCCUGGGAAACUGGGUCUAAUACUGGAUAUGACUCCACGGUGCAUGUCGUGGGGUGGAAAGCCUUGUGCGGCUGAGGAUGGGCCCGCGGCCUAUCAGCUUGUUGGUGGGGUGANGGCCUACCAAGGCGACGACGGGUAGCCGGCCUGAGAGGGCGACCGGCCACACUGGGACUGAGACACGGCCCAGACUCCUACGGGAGGCAGCAGUGGGGAAUCUUGCGCAAUGGGCGAAAGCCUGACGCAGCGACGCCGCGUGAGGGAUGACGGCCU
rnacentral:rRNA from 1 species